rnacentral:sRNA from 1 species
AAGAAGCAGAACACAAGAAACGUGAGAAACUUUGAGAAGACCAAGAAGAAGAAGCAGAAGAAGAAGAAAAUGAAAUUGGUUUGGUCUCCGGAAACAGCAUCAAAGG